rnacentral:rRNA from 1 species
AUACCUACGGGGCGCAGCAGUGGGGAAUAUUGCACAAUGGGGGAAACCCUGAUGCAGCGACGCCGCGUGAGUGAAGAAGUAUUUCGGUAUGUAAAGCUCUAUCAGCAGGGAAGAUAAUGACGGUACCUGACUAAGAAGCUCCGGCUAAAUACGUGCCAGCAGCCGCGGUAAUACGUAUGGAGCAAGCGUUAUCCGGAUUUACUGGGUGUAAAGGGAGCGCAGACGGCAAGGCAAGUCAGGCGGGAAAGUUAGGGGCUCAACCCCUAAACUGCGCUUGA